GGGCGAUGAUGAUGAAACGUUUCUCGAUUCUGAGUUUAUGUUAUAUAUAUUUAUAUAUAUACAUGGACUAAUGCUUUUGCUGCUUGAUGACUGUAUUUAUGCGUGUCUGAGCCCUUAGUUUACUGAUUUACGUUUAGUUGGGAUUAGAAAUUUUCCAUUUUGAUGUGAAUUAUGUGUUUCUGGAAUGACAAGGUGAACUGGGUGUGGCUGUGAUUACAAAGUAAAUCUGAAUGCUUGAUUGUAUUUAUGCAAUCGGGUAUAAGCAUGACAGACCCUUUUACACCCAUAGAAUAUGAGCCACA
rnacentral:lncRNA from 1 species